rnacentral:rRNA from 1 species
UACCAGCACCCCGAGUGGUCGGGACGUUUAUUGGGCCUAAAGCAUCCGUAGCCGGUUCUACAAGUCUUCCGUUAAAUCCACCUGCUUAACAGAUGGGCUGCGGAAGAUACUAUAGAGCUAGGAGGCGGGAGAGGCAAGCGGUACUCGAUGGGUAGGGGUAAAAUCCGUUGAUCCAUUGAAGACCACCAGUGGCGAAGGCGGCUCUCUGGGCCCUACCUGACGCUGAGGUGCGAAAGCGUGGGGAGCAAACAGG